UGCAAAUGAUGUUUAUACUCACGAUGGUCUUCCAAGCCUCAGAGGUGAAGAGGUUUUGACGAAAGUGCCAGAUGGCUUUACUGAUUCACUGCA
rnacentral:snoRNA from 1 species